rnacentral:rRNA from 1 species
GCGGGGAAAGAUGACCCUCUUGAGCUUGACUCUAGUCCGACUCUGUAAAGAUACAUGAGAGGUGUAGCAUAAGUGGGAGGCCGUGAACCCUCGUGGUUGUGUCGUGCCGACAGUGAAAUACCACUACUUUCAACGUUCUUUUACUUACUCGGUGAAGCGGAAAGCGGACCAUGAGUGUCCACGCUUCUAGCAUUAAGUGCAAGGCCCCUCGUUGGCCCGCACGAUCUGUUCCGAGGACAGUGUCAGGCGGGUAGUUUGACUGGGGCGGUACAUCUGUCAAAUAGUAACGCAGGUGUCCUAAGGCGAGCUCAGCGAGGACAGAAACCUCGCGUAGAGCAAAAGGGCAAAUGCCUGAUCUUGAUUUUAAGUACGAUUACAGACCGCGAAAGCGGGGCCCCUCGAUCCUUUUGACUUUAAGAGUUUUAAGCAAGAGGUGUCAGAAAAGUUACCACAGGAAUAACUGGCUUGUGGCGGCCAAGCGUUCAUAGCGUCGUCGCUCAAGCUAAGUAUCAAUUUUUAUAUUUC